UAGAGAAGGACCAGUACUCAUCCAUCAGCUGUGCCUAAAAAAUGGCUGGGAACAUCCUGGUAAAGACCAGUAUGGAACACCUCAACUGGUCAAAAUACAGAGAUCAAGUGAUGGUGGGGAACCUAAUUCCCAAUGGCUCCAUCUACAACACAGUUCCUGCACAUAAGCCUCAGGGAACAUUGGGGAAGAGGAAUGGAGUAAACGUGCUGUGAGGUUGCUUCCUACGAAUGACAGGGAAGCCACACCCAAGGAAUUUUGCCAUUCGGUUUAAUGACCAAUGGAAUGAAGCGGGUUGGCCCGAUGGGCGUGGUCUUCUCUAAGAUACAGACCCUUUAAGAAUCGAAGGAGGCUGAUUAUGCAUCUGCUUUUUUGGACCGUGGAAGGCUUCCUGACGCCACAGUGUGGUGACCUUGUCUGGAGUUUCCCCAUCUC